AAAAGCAAAUUAAAAAGUAGAAAAUUAUAUUCAAUAAGUUUAAAUUAAAAUUAUGUAAUUAAUAAAAUAUGUAUUUUAUUGUAAAAACGACAACAAAUGAAUACAUCGCGGGGGCUGGACUUAGUAUCACUUAGCACGAAUUUGGAUGUAAAAAAUAUUGUAGUUGAUAGAGCUUUAGUCCACGAUUAUAAUGAUACCACUCUUAUUACAAGGUAAUGCACCGUUUUCAAGAUAAUAACAAAAAAAAUCUUACCUAAAACAGGUAAAUCACGUAAAUAAACACUACAUGAGCGCUGAUAUCGCAGCGGGAGGCUAAAAACUGUCAUAAAAAGGCAAAGAGUUCAAGCUCAUACAUCCAUAAAUUGUAGGAACAGUGAAAUGAAAUGUAAAAAAAAGUCUGUUGCAGAUAAAACGGCUUAAAUUGUAAGAAAAACAGUGAAAUGAAAUGUAAGAAAAAGUCUGUGACAGAUUGGCUUCAUCAAUAAUUAUUUUUAUAUAAAAAGAAUAGAACCUAGAGUCGUGAAGUCCGUAAAAAAAACAACUAUUUUUGGUUUAUUUCCUAUUAUGUUUAUUCCAUGUUUAAAAUCUCUUUGUUUAAAAUCUAUCGUGGUUACGUGAAUGUUCCUGUGUUCUGUUUCGUGUUAUUUGUGGUUUUUUUCGACGACUUUGGCUUAUUUUCUGGACUUUGAUUCUUUGCUUAUACGUUUGACCUGCGCUCGUACACCGGACACCGAUUUUCUGCUUUCCCGACUGAUUUUUUCGAAUUUACCGCGUUGCGUUUUGUUAAGAUGUCGGACGCCGAACAACCCCAGCCAUCAACUAGUCAGGGAUUCCCGCCUUCGACUAAUCAAGAACCUCGACCGUCAAGCAGUCGUGAUUUUGUUGAUGCCGAUGAAACACCAAUAAAACGGCAUUACUACGUAAAAUAAUUAAAAGAGAUGUGGAAUUUAAUUAAAGUAUAUCAACGAUUGGGUACGCGCGAGCAAGUUCUUGCCUUUGCUGAGAGUAAAGGCAUGAUUCCAAGGCAAAAAAAUUGUAAUUAUCAUAAAAAACAAAUGAAGAUUGUUAAUUCAUCCAAUCGGACUAUGGGCUCUUUUAUAAGCAAUAAGAAAGCAUGCAGAUUUAAAUCUUAUGUUAGCCGAGGAAAUGGUACUUGGUUUGACGGCAUUCGAAUAACAUUACCACAAGUAUUUUAUUUAAUGUAUGUCUAUACAUUAAAUAAAAUACAAGCAAGCAUGCAAGUGGAGUUACUAUGAUACUCAGAAGGAAGAUUUCACAGAGGGAGAGCAUUGCCUUUCUAGGGCAACUAUAAUGGACUGGUUCAAUUAUUGCAGAGAGGCAGUUGUUCUUUACCAGAUGAAUAGGCAAUCAUUUACUGGAAAGUUUGGUGGUCCAGGCAAAACUGUUCAAAUUGACGAGAGCAAGUUCGGCAAAAGGAAGUUUAAUAAAGGACGUCAUAUUGAAGGUCACUGGGUGCUGGGCCUUAUAGAAGAUGGAAGCGAAGACCUCCGUUUAGAAGUCUGCCCAGACAAUAUCCGCUCAGCCGAUGUGUUGGUGCCAUUAAUAAAAAAGCAUGUGGCUGAGGGCACCACCAUACAUACUGACUUCUGGCAAGCUUAUGAUUGUCUGGGGGAUCAUGGGUUCAUAGUAAACCACAGUGAUCCAGAGACAACAUUUGUGGCUGCAGACGGCACGCACACUCAAAGAAUUGAGUCACAGUGGCGUGUCGUCAAAAGGUUUUUCAAAAGGAUAAUUUCAAUAAUAGGGAAAAUUUCACUGACUUAAUAUUUGAAUAUUUGUGGAGAAGAUUCGUCGUGCCGAGCGUAGCGUGCAGCGGCAGCGGCUGGCGAGUGCCAGAACCAAAUAGUAGGCGUUUCCCCCCGUUAACAAAUUAGGGAAGGGGGAGGGUAGACUUUUAUAUCGGUUUUUCUUGAAAACUGUGUAUUACAUUGUAAUAAGAGGGGUAGCACUAUAAUUGUGGACCAAAGCUCUAUCAACUACAAUUCAUUAAAAUUGGUUAGGUUAGGUUAUGUUAGAACAGUUAAAACAACGCACGAGCCGAGCGUAGCGUGCCGCGGCAGCAGCGAUAGAUGUUUGAGGAUUGAUAAACAUGAACAAUAAACCCUUUUAUAAAUGUUUUCCUUUUAUCUAAAAAUAAUUAUUGAUGAAGCCGUCUAAUCUGUCAUAGACUAUUUUUUAGAUUUCAUUUCAUUGUUUUUCAUACAAUUUAUGGCUGUAUGGGCUUAAACCCUUUGCCUGUCCAAAUAUUUUACGAAGAAACCAAAAUCAUUUCAUGACAGUUUUUAGCCUCCCGCCGCGAUGUCAGUAGUGUUUAUUUACGUGAUUUAUCUGUUUUAGGUUAGAAUUUUUUUCGUUAUUUUCUUGAAAACUCAGGCACUAAUGAAUCGUAAACAACCUCACUGUGAGUUUACAGAAUCCUUCAAGCAAUUCACGAUUAUGAUGCAAAAUAUGCUUUCUGACUUAAAGUCCGACUUAGACAUUAAAAUAUCAAAAAUAGGAGAGAAUACUGAAAAUAUCCAGUUGGAAUUGGACGCAUUGUCUACAUCUAGGAAUGAAUUCAAGAAAGAACUGUGUUCUUUACGUAAUGUCGAAAAGAACACAAGUGAACAGGUUUUUCAGUUAAGUAAGAAACGAGAGGUUUUGUGUAAAGAAAUGUUCAAAUCUCUAUAGAUUUUUCUAACAAACUUAAUGAAGAUAUCAAGCUACGUGUUUUAAAACUUGAGAAAGAUAUCGAUACACUCCACUACGACGUCGUUAUAUGCGGUAUGAGGGAUCAGUUUUAAAUGGUAGUGCGAGAACAAAUGCACCAUCGGGUUCGCGAGUGUUCGUGGACUUAUAAAAAGCUCACAAGUUUGCUCAUCCUCCGAGAGCAAAGCUUUGCGUGGAGUAGAAACUUGUUCAACCUCCCAAAAGAUUUCUCAAAAGAGAAUAAAGUGGUUGCGUAGUAAUAGCGCAUAAAGUAUGCGACAUUGCACGCGAAGAUUCACGAGCGUUCGAAAUAAUCGGAGCGUGUAAUAUGGGCGCAGUUCCCAUCAAAUAAAUCCGAACUUAGUCUGAAUCGCAUCAGGAGUACCAGGUGGACCCUGAACGUAUCGUCGGCAAGAGGCGUGCGAGCGAGAUAACGUAACAUCGCCUCAUUAAUCGGUAAUGUUGGUAUGCGAUCCGUAAUGGUGUCCACAACGAGUGGGCGUGAGUCAAACUAAACAUUACGGUUAAAAGGAGAAUAAAAUUGUAAGUUUGUUUACACAUAGGUGAUUAGAAUGCAAAGUUACAAACGAUUUUGUACCUUUAGGUAUUGGAGGUUUAAAUGAUUUAUUAGUUUGAGUUGAAGAGGUAACAUUAUUUGUGGGUGCGUAAUUAAAAUUAUUAUUGUUAGUGCGUUCUAGAAUUUUAGUUUGUUCACGUAUAAACUUAACAAAACUAUCGUAAGUAGGUAUCUGUUUCGAGCGAACAGAAUGUUUAAACAUACACGCGGUCUCUCGAUCUAUCUUUUGUAAAGCUAAAUACAAAAAAAUAAAAUCCUUUUCAUCUACUAUUUUUAAUUGAUCGAAAGCCGAUACUAAAGUUGUGUGAACUUAUCUAAAAAAGUAUUUGAGCCAU